rnacentral:rRNA from 1 species
GACCAGACUCCUACGGGAGGCAGCAGUGGGGAAUAUUGCACAAUGGGGGAAACCCUGAUGCAGCGACGCCGCGUGAGUGAAGAAGUAUUUCGGUAUGUAAAGCUCUAUCAGCAGGGAAGAAAAUGACGGUACCUGACUAAGAAGUCCCGGCCAACUACGUGCCGGCAGCCGCGGUAGUACGUAGGGGGCAAGCGUUAUCCGGAUUUACUGGGUGUAAAGGGAGCGUAGACGGUUACGCAAGUCUGGAGUGAAAGGCGGGGGCCCAACCCCCGGACUGCUUUGGAAACUGUAUAACUGGAGUGCAGGAGAGGUAAGUGGAAUUCCUAGUGUAGCGGUGAAAUGCGUAGAUAUUAGGAGGAACACCAGUGGCGAAGGCGGCUUACUGGACUGUAACUGACGUUGAGGCUCGAAAGCGUGGGGAGCAAACAGGAUUAGAUACCCCUGUAAC